UAAGAAGCAAAAUUUGCGUUUAGUUUCGACCUAAAAAUAUGAUUUUUAAUCCUUA
rnacentral:tRNA from 1 species